ensembl:snoRNA
AUCUUCCUCAUCAAAUAAAUAAGUAAAUAAAUAAAUAGAUCCUCUUUUGCAAUCCAGAUCUCAUUGUUCAGUAUGGGUUUUGAUACAGAUAAAAAGGAACAUG